GGUAUGGGAUGAGCUUGCGUCCGAUUAGCUAGUUGGCGGGGCAACGGCCCACCAAGGCGACGAUCGGUAGCCGGCCUGAGAGGGCGAUCGGCCACAUUGGGACUGAGAUACGGCCCAGACCCCUACGGGAGGCAGCAGUAGGGAAUAUUGCACAAUGGGGGAAACCCUGAUGCAGCAACGCCACGUGUGGGAAGAAGCAUUUCGGUGUGUAAACCACUGUCGUGAGGGAAUAAGGCAUUGUUUCGGCGAUGUUGAAUGUACCUCGAAAGGAAGCACCGGCAAACUUCGUGCCAGCAGCCGCGGUAAUACGAGGGGUGCAAGCGUUGUUCGGAAUCACUGGGCGUAAAGGGAGCGUAGGCGGAGAUGCAAGCAGUCUGUACAAUACCGGGGCCCAACCCCGGACCUGCAGACUGGACUGUGUCUCUUGGAUAGUUCAGGGGCAGGC
rnacentral:rRNA from 1 species